CUCUCAAAGACAUUUUCAAGGUCCAAAUCCACUGCCAUUUUUGUACUUAUUUUUCUAGAUUCCACUAUUUUUUUAACUGAUUCCUUUAUUUUUAUGUUCCAGGGCAAGAAAGUUGUCAUCUUUGGUCUUCCAGUAAGUCUCUCUUAACUGUAAAAUUGUUGCUUUGGUUGCUCUUUGCUGUGAUUGAGUUAUCAUAUUUCUGUCCUGUACGGAAAUUCGAUGUGAAUUUCAUUUGGAAAUGUCUGGCAAGAUUAUUGAGGUCAGAAACUCCUGAAACGAGCCAGCUCAUUCAAAAG
rnacentral:lncRNA from 1 species